CAGUCGUAAACAAUGUGCGUUAGGUGUGUCGGUAACCACGUGUUACUGAUGCGCCGAAGAGAAAUCGUGAAACGCACCACCUGGGAAGUACGGUCGCAAGGCUGAAACUUAAAGGAAUUGGCGGGGGAGCACCACAACAGGUGGAGCCUGCGGUUUAAUUGGAUUCAACGCCGGACAUCUCACCGGAUAAGACAGCUGAAUGAUUGUCAAUCUGAAGGUUUUACAUGACUAGCUGAGAGGAGGUGCAUGGCGUCAGUGACU
rnacentral:rRNA from 1 species